rnacentral:rRNA from 1 species
UCAGGAAANUCUGGAGUGAAAGGCUAUGGCUCANCCAUAGUGUGCUCUGGAAACUNUCUGACUUGAGUGCAGAAGGGGAGAGUGGAAUUCCAUGUGUAGCGGUGAAAUGCGUAGAUAUAUGGAGGAACACCAGUGGCGAAAGCGGCUCUCUGGUCUGUCACUGACGCUGAGGCUCGAAAGCGUGGGUAGCGAACAGGAUUAGAUACCCUGGUAGUCCACGCCGUAAACGAUGAGUGCUAGGUGUUAGGCCCUUUCCGGGGCUUAGUGCCGGAGCUAACGCAAUAAGCACUCCGCCUGGGGAGUACGACCGCAAGGUUGAAACUCAAAGGAAUUGACGGGGGCCCGCACAAGCGGUGGAGCAUGUGGUUUAAGUCGAAGCAACGCGAAGAACCUUACCAGGUCUUGACAUCCCGAUGCUAUUCUUAGAGAUAGGAAGUUACUUCGGUACAUCGGAGACAGGUGGUGCAUGGUUGUCGUCAGCUCGUGUCGUGAGAUGUUGGGUUAAGUCCCGCAACGAGCGCAACCCUUAUUGUUAGUUGCCAUCAUUAAGUUGGGCACUCUAGCGAGACUGCCGGUAAUAAACCGGAGGAAGGUGGGGAUGACGUCAAAUCAUCAUGCCCCUUAUGACCUGGGCUACACACGUGCUACAAUGGUCGGUACAACGAGUUGCGAGCCGGUGACGGCAAGCUAAUCUCUGAAAGCCGAUCUCAGUUCGGAUUGGAGGCUGCAAC